UCCUCGAUAGCUCAGUUGGUUAGAGCGACCGGCUGUUAACCGGUAGGUCGUAGGUUCAAGUCCUACUCGGGGAG
rnacentral:tRNA from 2 species